GAUGAAGAACGUAGCGAAAUGCGAUAAGUAAUGUGAAUUGCAGAAUUCAGUGAAUCAUCGAAUCUUUGAACGCACCUUGCGCCCUUUGGCUAUUCCGAAGGGCAUGCCUGUUUGAGUAUCAUGAACACCUCAACUCUCAUGGUUUGCCAUGAUGAGCUUGGACUCUGGGGGUCUUGCUGGCCUAUGGUCAGCUCCUCUCAAAUAAAUCAGCUUGCCAGUGUUUAGUGGCAUCACAGGUGUGAUAACUAUCUACGCUUGUGGUUUUACAUCAGGUAACCUUCAGUGAUGGAGGUUCGCUGGAGCUCAUAAAUGUCCCUCCUCAGCGAGGACAGCUUUUUGAACGUUUGAUCUCAAAUCAGGUAGGAUUACCCGCUGAACUUAAGCAUAUCAAUAAGCGGAGGA
rnacentral:misc_RNA from 1 species